GACUCCCAAUCACCACCGGAUGUGAUACAACCUGGAUUCAAACCAGGGACUGUAGUGACACCGGUGCGCCACAUGGGAGCCCUAAACACUGAAUUCCUGCAUUUGGACGUGGGUGAGCUUGUACUGACCUCCUUCAUAGUCCAGAGUCGAGGUAAAUUCAAUAUUUUAACUGAAAUCUACUCCUCUUGUGCUUCAGCUUCACUAUCUACAAAUCAGAAAUGAUCACAGAGGGCUACAACUCUAAUCACGCACAUGGAGGAUCCUUACUACUGCCAUGAAGCACUGCUCUAAACCAGAGCAUGGAGUUGAAUCUCCCUGCUUGGGCAAGGCUCUGGACCUGCUCAGUGGCCCUGGACAGUAGAGGCCAUUUUCAUUGAGCUGUGCCACAAACACCCUGCUGGCAAGACUGUGCUUGGGAACCAGGUACAUGUCCUUCAUGGAGAGGGUGAUCCUUGACCAGACCUGGGACAGUAUGACUGCAGAGUGGUGCUUCAGGCCCCUUCCACACUGCAGUCAGGAGCACCCCACCAACCAGCAGCACUUACUGUACCAGCUUCCAGAGGACAGAACGGGGCAGGCUACACAGCGUGGCAGAGCAGACACUGUCACCCAGUCUGCCUACCACCUCCCUCCCUAUAACUCCAGUCUCCAAAGA